UCUCUCUCUUCUUUCUUUUCAUUUCUUUCCUCCUCUUUUUCUCUCUAGGCUGGUAGAGGUUUGGUUGAAGAAGAAGUGGGCAGCUUGCGUUUUGGGCUUGGUGCCGAAUUGGAAACGCUGCUAUGAAAGCUUCGAAACCUAAGCGGCUGCCUUGAUGAGUUUUGGGCACUCGAAUUGGAGAAGGGAACUUGAUGGAGCUUUUUGGUGAGCCGAAUUGAGAAGGACCUGAGAGGAAAGCUUCAUAGGAGGGGCUGUGAAGCAAACAUAAACGGAAUUUCAGCAUAAAUACCCUGCUGUUGGAGCUGAAAGAAAGCUUGUUGAAGCUGCAAAUUGAGGUUUGUAGCGGCUGCACAAAGAGGAAGUAAAGUGCAGAAUUUCCGCAAAGUGUAGAAAUUUCAACAUAGUGCAGAUUUUGAGGUUGAGUGGAAAAAGAAGCUUUAAAGUAAAAUUCCUCGCUGAUUGGAGCUGAAGGUAACUAGAUGGAUUGGGUGUUAACUAAUUUAGAAGAGUUUUAAACUAUAGAAUGGAGUGUUCUAUGAUGUAAUGGCUGCCAAAAGAGAAGUAAUAGAGUAGAUUCCUGCAGAUUUCAGCAUUGAUUCCUGCUGGUUAUUAAAGCUGAAAAUGAGUUAAUUGAAUAGCAAAUUAAGAUAA